GCUUAUAGGUCUGUGGAAAGGAG
rnacentral:piRNA from 1 species